rnacentral:rRNA from 1 species
AUUGAACGCUGGCGGCAUGCCUUACACAUGCAAGUCGAACGGCAGCGGGGGAGAAGCUUGCUUUUCCUGCCGGCGAGUGGCGAACGGGUGAGUAAUACAUCGGAACGUGCCCUGUAGCGGGGGAUAACUAGUCGAAAGAUUAGCUAAUACCGCAUACGACCUGAGGGUGAAAGUGGGGGACCGCAAGGCCUCAUGCUAUAGGAACGGCCGAUGUCUGAUUAGCUAGUUGGUGGGGUAAAGGCCUACCAAGGCGACGAUCAGUAGCUGGUCUGAGAGGACGAUCAGCCACACUGGGACUGAGACACGACCCAGACUCCUACGGGAGGCAGCAGUGGGGAAUUUUGGACAAUGGGCGAAAGCCUGAUCCAGCAAUGCCGCGUGUGUGAAGGAGGCCUUCGGGUUGUAAAGCACUUUUGUCCGGAAAGAAAUGGCUCUGGUUAAUACCUGGGGUCGAUGACGGUACCGGAAGAAUAAGGACCGGCUAACUACGUGCCAGCCGCCGCCGUAA